rnacentral:rRNA from 1 species
GUGGAUGCCCUGGCAGUCAGAGGCGAUGAAGGACGUGCUAAUCUGCGAUAAGCGUCGGUGAGGUGAUAUGAACCGUUAUAACCGGCGAUUUCCGAAUGGGGAAACCCAGUGUGUUUCGACACACUAUCAUUAACUGAAUCCAUAGGUUAAUGAGGCGAACCGGGGGAACUGAAACAUCUAAGUACCCCGAGGAAAAGAAAUCAACCGAGAUUCCCCCAGUAGCGGCGAGCGAACGGGGAGGAGCCCAGAGUCUGAAUCAGUGUGUGUGUUAGUGGAAGCGUCUGGAAAGGCGCGCGAUACAGGGUGACAGCCCCGUACACAAAAAUGCACAUAUUGUGAGCUCGAUGAGUAGGGCGGGACACGUGGUAUCCUGUCUGAAUAUGGGGGGACCAUCCUCCAAGGCUAAAUACUCCUGACUGACCGAUAGUGAACCAGUACCGUGAGGGAAAGGCGAAAAGAACCCCGGCGAGGGGAGUGAAAAAGAACCUGAAACCGUGUACGUACAAGCAGUGGGAGCCUCUUAAUGGGGUGACUGCGUACCUUUUGUAUAAUGGGUCAGCGACUUAUAUUCUGUAGCAAGGUUAACCGAAUAGGGGAGCCGAAGGGAAACCGAGUCUUAACUGGGCGUUAAGUUGCAGGGUAUAGACCCGAAACCCGGUGAUCUAGCCAUGGGCAGGUUGAAGGUUGGGUAACACUAACUGGAGGACCGAACCGACUAAUGUUGAAAAAUUAGCGGAUGACUUGUGGCUGGGGGUGAAAGGCCAAUCAAACCGGGAGAUAGCUGGUUCUCCCCGAAAGCUAUUUAGGUAGCGCCUCGUGAAUUCAUCUCCGGGGGUAGAGCACUGUUUCGGCAAGGGGGUCAUCCCGACUUACCAACCCGAUGCAAACUGCGAAUACCGGAGAAUGUUAUCACGGGAGACACACGGCGGGUGCUAACGUCCGUCGUGAAGAGGGAAACAACCCAGACCGCCAGCUAAGGUCCCAAAGUCAUGGUUAAGUGGGAAACGAUGUGGGAAGGCCCAGACAGCCAGGAUGUUGGCUUAGAAGCAGCCAUCAUUUAAAGAAAGCGUAAUAGCUCACUGGUCGAGUCGGCCUGCGCGGAAGAUGUAACGGGGCUAAACCAUGCACCGAAGCUGCGGCAGCGACACUAUGUGUUGUUGGGUAGGGGAGCGUUCUGUAAGCCUGUGAAGGUGUGCUGUGAGGCAUGCUGGAGGUAUCAGAAGUGCGAAUGCUGACAUAAGUAACGAUAAAGCGGGUGAAAAGCCCGCUCGCCGGAAGACCAAGGGUUCCUGUCCAACGUUAAUCGGGGCAGGGUGAGUCGACCCCUAAGGCGAGGCCGAAAGGCGUAGUCGAUGGGAAACAGGUUAAUAUUCCUGUACUUGGUGUUACUGCGAAGGGGGGACGGAGAAGGCUAUGUUGGCCGGGCGACGGUUGUCCCGGUUUAAGCGUGUAGGCUGGUUUUCCAGGCAAAUCCGGAAAACCAAGGCUGAGGCGUGAUGACGAGGCACUACGGUGCUGAAGCGACAAAUGCCCUGCUUCCAGGAAAAGCCUCUAAGCAUCAGGUAACAUCAAAUCGUACCCCAAACCGACACAGGUGGUCAGGUAGAGAAUACCAAGGCGCUUGAGAGAACUCGGGUGAAGGAACUAGGCAAAAUGGUGCCGUAACUUCGGGAGAAGGCACGCUGAUAUGUAGGUGAAGCGACUUGCUCGUGGAGCUGAAAUCAGUCGAAGAUACCAGCUGGCUGCAACUGUUUAUUAAAAACACAGCACUGUGCAAACACGAAAGUGGACGUAUACGGUGUGACGCCUGCCCGGUGCCGGAAGGUUAAUUGAUGGGGUUAGCGGUAACGCGAAGCUCUUGAUCGAAGCCCCGGUAAACGGCGGCCGUAACUAUAACGGUCCUAAGGUAGCGAAAUUCCUUGUCGGGUAAGUUCCGACCUGCACGAAUGGCGUAAUGAUGGCCAGGCUGUCUCCACCCGAGACUCAGUGAAAUUGAACUCGCUGUGAAGAUGCAGUGUACCCGCGGCAAGACGGAAAGACCCCGUGAACCUUUACUAUAGCUUGACACUGAACAUUGAGCCUUGAUGUGUAGGAUAGGUGGGAGGCUUUGAAGUGUGGACGCCAGUCUGCAUGGAGCCGACCUUGAAAUACCACCCUUUAAUGUUUGAUGUUCUAACGUGGGCCCCUAAUCGGGGUUGCGGACAGUGUCUGGUGGGUAGUUUGACUGGGGCGGUCUCCUCCUAAAGAGUAACGGAGGAGCACGAAGGUUGGCUAAUCCUGGUCGGACAUCAGGAGGUUAGUGCAAUGGCAUAAGCCAGCUUGACUGCGAGCGUGACGGCGCGAGCAGGUGCGAAAGCAGGUCAUAGUGAUCCGGUGGUUCUGAAUGGAAGGGCCAUCGCUCAACGGAUAAAAGGUACUCCGGGGAUAACAGGCUGAUACCGCCCAAGAGUUCAUAUCGACGGCGGUGUUUGGCACCUCGAUGUCGGCUCAUCACAUCCUGGGGCUGAAGUAGGUCCCAAGGGUAUGGCUGUUCGCCAUUUAAAGUGGUACGCGAGCUGGGUUUAGAACGUCGUGAGACAGUUCGGUCCCUAUCUGCCGUGGGCGCUGGAGAACUGAGGGGGGCUGCUCCUAGUACGAGAGGACCGGAGUGGACGCAUCACUGGUGUUCGGGUUGUCAUGCCAAUGGCACUGCCCGGUAGCUAAAUGCGGAAGAGAUAAGUGCUGAAAGCAUCUAAGCACGAAACUUGCCCCGAGAUGAGUUCUCCCUGACUCCUUGAGAGUCCUGAAGGAACGUUGAAGACGACGACGUUGAUAGGCCGGGUGUGUAAGCGCAGCGAUGCGUUGAGCUAACCGGUACUAAUGAACCGUGAGG